ensembl:antisense Gm11491 predicted gene 11491
ACGAGACUUGGAGAGGCGGUGCCGCGGGGAGGCGUGUCGGGCGUCGGCGCGGUGCCCUUCGCCUCGCAGAUUUUACCGCCAGUGAUGUAGGCUCCUUGGUGCGUCCUAAUUGGAAGAAGCCACGCUCCCGAGUAUUAGGAAGGGACGGAGAGUCUUAUUUGCGUUCCCAUUGUUUGUGGGUCACCUAAGGAGACCCUGGAGCCGGGAACUCUUGCUUGUUCCAGCCCAACAUGGCCUACAGAGUGAGAUCCUGUCUUAAAAAACAAGAGAAGGCUGAAAAAAUGGCUCAGCACCUGCUGCUCUUCCAGAAGACCCAGUCACAGGACAUCUACGCUUCUUACAAUUUCCUCAUCUGAAAUGCAUCACGAUCCUCUCGGUCAAGGGAAAUGUCAGGCUUCCUCAUCAGCCCCGCCUCUAGACGUCUCGCCCAAUCUCUGCAGUUGGUCUUCUUUCCACCAGCCUUCCUCUUUAACAUUUUUUAUCAGUCCGGCAUAUGAGAUUUUAAUGGCUCUGUUGCAGCUUUCUCUUCUUCAGUCAGUAGAGUUAGCUAGAAAAACAAAUAACAAAAUGUUUAUUUCAAAACCUUCAAAGGUUGUUAAACGAGUUAAAUUUUGCUUCAUUGCACAAACGUUUUCAUAAUCUUAUACUACAUAUUUAGUCUUGAAAUUUGAAAGGCAAGGGAAAACAAUAGCCAUC